UGCACUUUACGUCUUUAAGGUCUCUACAGUAAUUGAUAACAUCAUAUAGCACAUUAGGUCAUAAAUGAUCAUACAUGGUUCCUAAAGAAUCUUACCCUUCUUCUUAAUCUAAUUACGUAUUAGACUUGUUAUUAUUGGUUCCGGCUUUCAGUUACAUCAUUCUUAUGUUCACAUGCAAUUGACUUUCUUUAACCCUAAGUGAUCAUACUUAAGGCUUAAUUAUGUCUUAACAAUAUUUCAUUAAGAUUUUUAAAUAAGUG
rnacentral:lncRNA from 1 species